rnacentral:rRNA from 1 species
AAGUCGAACGGUAACGCGAGGAGCUUGCUCCUUAGCGACGAGUGGCGGACGGGUGAGUAAUACUUAGGAAUCUACCCAGUAGCGGGGGACAACUCGGGGAAACUCGAGCUAAUACCGCAUACGCCCUACGGGGGAAAGCAGGGGAUCUUCGGACCUUGCACUAUUGGAUGAGCCUAAGUCGGAUUAGCUUGUUGGCAGGGUAAAAGCCUACCAAGGCGACGAUCCGUAGCUGGUCUGAGAGGACGAUCAGCCACACUGGGACUGAGACACGGCCCAGACUCC